AUUGAACGCUGGCGGCAGGCUUAACACAUGCAAGUCGAGCGAGCGGCGGACGGGUGAGUCAUGUCUGGGAAACCGCCUGAUGGAGGGGGAUAACUACUGGAAAGGGUAGCUAAUACCGCAUACCAUCAGAUGUGCCCAGAUGGGAUUAGCUAGUAGGUGGGGUAAUGGCUCAACUAGGCGACGAUCCCUAGCUGGUCUGAGAGGAUGACCAGCCACACUGGAACUGAGACAAGGUCCAGACUCCUACGGGAUGCAGCAGUGGGGAAUAGUGCACAAGGGGCGCAAGCCUGAUGCAGCCAGGCCGCGUGUGUGAAGAAGGCCUUCGGGUUGUAAAGCACUUUCAGCGAGGAGGCGUUACUCGGAGAAGAAGCACCGGCUAACUCCGUGCCAGCAGCCGCGGUAAUUC
rnacentral:rRNA from 1 species